CGCCAGACGGUGUUCAAACUGUCAAAGUGUCGGCGAUAAUCAGUCACUCGGAAAAAACUGGUAAACGGUAAAAAACGAGAACGUCGAGAACAAACUUAUUCGAACACGGUAUUACGCUGGUCGUAAAAACCGUUGGGCGGCUCAUGGAGCAAACAGUAAACUUUAAACACACACGACCGCAACGCUGUCUACCGGUUAACUGGCAACAACGGUCGUCGGUCACAGAAAUAAAGAAUUGAACUUAAUAUUAUAUAGAUUCAAUCAUGAGACUUUUCUGAUUCUCUGACUACACUAUACGUCUUUACUAUUUACAUUAUUAAGUAUUUAAUAAAAAAUCUUCAGAGCUUCAGACAAUCUUUUGAUGUUCAAUGGAUUAUGGUAGUUGUAAAAACGUGAUUUUUUUUUUCAUCAAAAUAAAUUUAAAAAAUUCUACUAGACAACUGCGUUUUUGAUUUUCAAACCGUUUAUAUUUGAAUUUGAAUUUAAAAAAAAAGAACUAUUUAAAAUAGAAAAAAAUACCGAAACGCAGUUGUCUAGUAGAACUACUCAAGUUAUUUUUGGUAGGUAAGAAAAAUUAUAAAUUUACAGCUGUCGUGUGCUGCUCAACAAUGCUUAUAUUGCCUAUUCUGCUUAGUGACUAGCGUUAGCAUAACAGCAGUAUACGAGGACAACGUUCAAACUGUUUUAAGUUUCUUACCACAACCCUGAGUAGUGAGUACGAGUGUCGACAAUGUCGAACACCCGAGUGCCGACUGCCGACUAGACAGUGGACAGUGGACACUGGACGGCGCAGCGGACACAUGAAUAAUGAAAAAUUUUCAUUGAAUAUUGAAUAUCUUAUCAGUUUUCACACUUUCACGGAUCAAAACUGGUUUUCAUAUCGUGGCCGGGCCAAUGCUUGAAGAGAAUUUGAUGAUAAAAUAAAUAUACGAAAUAAAAAAAAACACAAGGUACAUAUAAAUAAAUAAAAACAUUUUGAAUAAAGUGACUAAGAUAAUCGAUGUAGACCUAGGUAUUAUUUAAAAAUAAAACAGUCAAAUACUGUCAUACUGAAUUUAUUUUUAAUUAGUA